GAUGAACGCUGGCGGCGUGCCUAAUACAUGCAAGUCGAGCGAACAGACGAGGAGCUUGCUCCUCUGACGUUAACGGCGGACGGGUGAGUAACACGUGGAUAACCUACCUAUAAGACUGGUAUAACUUCGGGAAACCGGAGCUAAUACCGGAUAAUAUAUUGAACCGCAUGGUUCAAUAGUGAAAGACGGUUUUGCCGGCACUUAUAGAUGGAUCCGCGCCGCAUUAGCUAGUUGGUAAGGUAACGGCUUACCAAGGCAACGAUGCGUAGCCGACCUGAGCGGGUGCUCGGCCACACUGGAACUGAGACACCGUCCAGUCUCCUACGGGAGGCAGCCGUCGGGAAUCUUCCGCAAUGCGCGACAGCCUGACCGACCACCCCCCCGUGAGUGAUCAACGCCUUCGGAUCGUAAAACUCUGUUCUUAGGGAAGAACAACUGUGUCAGUAACUAUGCACCUCUUGACGGUACCUAAUCAGAAAGCCACGGCUAACUACGUG
rnacentral:rRNA from 1 species